rnacentral:rRNA from 1 species
AACGAACGCUGGCGGCGCGCCUAAUACAUGCAAGUCGAGCGAGAAGGUGUAGCAAUACACUUGUAAAGCGGCGAACGGGUGAGGAAUGCAUGGGUAACCUACCCUCGAGUGGGAAGUAACUAGCCGAAAGGUUAGCUAAUACCGCAUACGUUUCCGGAACUUCGGUUUCGGAAAGAAAGACAAUACCGUGGGUAUUGCGCUCCUGGAUGGGCUCAUGUCCUAUCAGCUUGUUGGUGAGGUAACGGCUCACCAAGGCUUUCGACGGGUAGCUGGUCUGAGAGGACGAUCAGCCACACUGGCACUGCGACACGGGCCAG